rnacentral:SRP_RNA from 1 species
GCCGGGCGCGGUGACGUAUAGUCCCAGCUACUCGGGGAGGCUGAGGCUGGAGGAUCACUUGAGUCCAGGAGUUCUGGUCUGUAGUGCACUUUGCCGAUUGGGUGUCCGCACUAGUUCGGCAUCAAUAUGGUGACCUCCCGGGAGCGGGGGACCACCAGGUUGCCUAAGGAAGGGUGAACUGGCCCAAGUCGGAAACGGAGCAGGUCAAAUCUCCCGUGCUGAUCAGUAGUGGGAUCGCGCCUGUGCAUUAGCUGGGCCUGGUGGUAAUCCCAGCUACU